rnacentral:rRNA from 1 species
UGUUCGGUAUUGCUUCGUUCAGUUGCAUUAUUGCUCUGAGCGACAAAGCCGCCUGUUUAUCAAAACAUCGCCUCUUGAACUUUAUAAGAGGUCCAGCCUGCCCAGUGACUCUGUUCAACGGCCGCGGUAUCCUAACCGUGCGAAGGUAGCGUAAUCACUUGUUCUUUAAAUGGGGACUAGUAUGAAUGGCACUACGAGGGUUACACUGUCUCCUUUUUCUAAUCAGUGAAACUAAUUUUCCCGUGAAGAAGCGGGAAUUCACCUAUAAGACGAGAAGACCCUAUGGAGCUUUAAACAAUCCAGCAAUUACUUUUAAAAUUAUAAAUUUCAGAAUAUUCAUUUUUAAGCAAUGUGUCUGCAAGUUUUUGGUUGGGGUGACCAUGGAGAAUAACACAACCUCCAUAUUGAAUGAAUCCUAUUCUAAGCUAAAAUUACUAAUUGAAGCAUCAACAUACUGACAUCUAUUGACCCAAUAUAUUUGAUCAACGAACCAAGUUACCCUAGGGAUAACAGCGCAAUCCACUUCAAGAGCCCCUAUCGACAAGUGGGUUUACGACCUCGAUGUUGGAUCAGGGUAUCCCAGUGGCGCAGCCGCUACUAAAGGUUUGUUUGUUCAACAAUUAAAACCCUACGUGAUCUGAGUUCAGACCGGGCUUUGUCGCUCAGAGCAAUAUGCAACUGAACGAAGCAAUACUGAU